AGUGAACGCUGGCGGUAGGCCUAACACAUGCAAGUCGAACGGCAGCACAGGAGAGCUUGCUCUCUGGGUGGCGAGUGGCGGACGGGUGAGGAAUACACCGGAAUCUACUUUUUCGUGGGGGAUAACGUAGGGAAACUUACGCUAAUACCGCAUACGACCUACGGUUGAAAGCAGGGGACCUUCGGGCCUUGCGCGAUUGAAUGAGCGGAUGUCGGAUUAGCUAGUUGGCGGGGUAAAGGCCCACCAAGGCGACGAUCCGUAGCUGGUCUGAGAGGAUGAUCAGCCACACUGGAACUGAGACACGGUCCAGACUCCUACGGGAGGCAGCAGUGGGGAAUAUUGGACAAUGGGCGCAAGCCUGAUCCAGCCAUACCGCGUGGGUGAAGAAGGCCUUCGGGUUGUAAAGCCCUUUUGUUGGGAAAGAAAUCCAGCUGGCUAAUACCCGGUUGGGAUGACGGUACCCAAAGAAUAAGCACCGGCUAACUUCGUGCCAGCCGCCGCAGUAA
rnacentral:rRNA from 1 species